AAUUUUUAAAUUGAAUUAGAAACCUAAUUCCCAAAUUGAAGAACCCUAACCCUAAUCCCUCCUCACCACACUCAGCCGCAUCCCCUUUCCCUUUAAUCCCUUUCAAACGUAACACAGCAGCAGAGAAGGAGAGCUGUGAUCGAAAAAGAGGAAGAGCCACGCUGCCGCCGCUGUCCAGCCGCCUCGCCACCACCGUCGCGCCAUCGUCGCUCCCAGCUCGCCGCCAUCCUCCACGUCGUUGCCGCCACUGUUCGCAAAGAGGAGAGAGAGAGACGUUGAGACAGAGUAGCGCCGAGAGGGAGAGGAGCUUCCAUCAUCGUCAAUUCGUGCUAGCCAGAGGAAGCCGCUGCCGCCGAUGAGUUGUCGCCGCUGUGACGCGUCCGAGAGGAGAGGAGUCGUGCGUUAAAAGCCGUCGCGUCUUGCCGCCAAGGGUUCCAUCGCAGCCAACCCGUCGCAGUUGGUGUCGCCGUCGUGCCUGUUGGAUUCCACCGUGGAGAAGAGAACGACACGAGGGAGAGAGGGAGACAGAGCCGUGCGAGCCAGAGGAGGCACUGUCCUCGCUGUUGCUGCCACGGUCGCUGGUGAGUCGUGCACCGCCAUCAGAGUCAGAAGACAGCAUCAGCCUUCUUGUUCUGGUUCCGAUUCCUCCAUUUCUAAAAUUUUCUGCCACUUUGCUUCAAAAUUGCUGUUGUAACUCGUAUUGGUUUUGGGACUGUUGUGGCUGCUGCUGGUUUUGUUCGAGGCUACUGCUGCUGUGAGAAAGGAAAAAGGAAUUUGUCACGGUUAAGGAAUUCUUCAAGUUUCGGUUAUUUGAGGAAGAAUGGAGAUGUACCCCAAGUGAGUUAAAUACUUCUGCAAUAAAUAAUUCAUGUCAAUGCUAUUACAAAGGAAGAUUUCCUUGCUCGGUUGCUCCCAAUGAACUUGAACCUUUUAAGAAUUUUUCUUCUCAGCUUGCUGCUUUGGACUUUAUUGCAUGUGCAACUGCUGAUGUAUUUUCCAUGACAGAUUCUGGUACCAACUCUCAGCAAUGGUGUCUGGAUUCAGAAGCUACUAUGGUGGCGAUCAUGCUCCCACUUUGAGGCCUAAUUAACAAGAAGAGGCUGGCAUGUGUAGACAACCUUAACACCAUCAAUCAACACAUUCACGCACCCAUUGUAUAAUAUUAGACUAAGACCAGCCCAAUGCACAUGGAGCUGAAUUACUUAUACUAGUAGUAUAGAUCUAAAAAUGUUAUUACUUAUAACUUAAUUUAUGUAUAAUUUUAUUGAUAUGUUAGUUGGUUAAUUUAAUCACAACUUAUCUUAAUUGUUG